rnacentral:lncRNA from 10 species
AGAGGGAGGAGGUGAGCCAGCCUGAAGAAAAGUCAAGCACAGCCCCAGGAAUAAGCCGCAAAACUCCUACAGAUCCAAAAGGACCUGGAGGAUGCCUAAGGCCUCCCGGACUUUGUCAGGAGUUGCACUCCGUUGCCUGGGCUGGAGUGCAGCGUCAUGAUCUCCAGUCACUGCAAGCUCUGCCUCCCGGGUUCAUGCCAUUCUCCUGCCUCAGCCUCCUGAGUAGCUGGGACUACAGGCUGGGUCCACUUUGCCCCUCAACAGCAUUACUGGACACCUUUGUCAGACUAGCAAUUUCCACAGACACCCUCUGUGAACAUUUUUCAACAUCAUCUGCAGCAGUGAGAGGCCAGUUUGAUGUGUAAGAAUACUGCUUGACUUUGGACUUGCCUUUGUCAUGGUUCCUGCCUUUCUCAUAGAUCUCCUGCCAGGACAAGGAUGAUAGGAGGCAAGGAAGUCAAGGGCCCAGCCCCAUUCACUGAAAGCUGCCUCUGGGAUCUCAGAAAGAAGACCACACCACUCCCAAGAACAGACAUCUCCCAGUGUUUUAUCGUCCUUCAGCCAACCCAGGGAGAGACAGCAGCAGUCCUGUCUGCAGGGCUUUUUAAAUGUAGCUCAAAUUCAGUUCCCAGCCAAGCAACUGCUUCACGUCGUGAAGGAGAAUUCCUCUAUCAUCGUGAGAUUUCAUUCUAGAACAGAGAAUGUCAGCAGCAAUAAGGUCACAGAGAGAUGAAGAUAUAAUGUG